rnacentral:rRNA from 1 species
CCCUUAGAUGCUCUGGGCCGCACGCGCGCUACACUGGUCGAUGCAACGAGUUUCUUUCCUUGGCCGACAGGCCUGGGCAAUCUUUGAACAUCGAUCGUGAUCGGGAUAGAUUCUUGUAAUUUUUGAUCUUAAACGAGGAAUUCCUAGUAAACGCAAGUCAUCAGCUUGCAUUGAUUACGUCCCUGCCCUUUGUACACACCGCCCGUCGCACCUACCGAUUGAAUGGUCCGGUGAAAUCUCCGGACUGGCGUGAGUCGGAGCAAUCUGACAAACGCCGGAAAGUUGAUUAAACCUUAUCAUUUAGAGGAAGGAGAAGUCGUAACA